CUUUUUAAAAACUUACUUUCCUGGGAAGAGUGACUUUGUUAGCUGCACGGUGCUGUCUCUUAAGUAGGGACUUCAUGCCUUAAAGUCCCUGCUCUCAAGCCUCCGUAGGUGUAAUGUUCAUCUUAAGGUCGAGGCCAAAAGCCCAGGCCCCAGGGCUGCCUUUUAACAGCUUCUGUUGCACCCAGAGCCAUGCAGGGACACUCUGGCCAGCUGUUUGCACCCAGGAAGGCAGCGGCGGAUGCCGGGGCGUGCCUGGGGGCUGGGUGCCCAGAGCUGCUUUCGCUGUGCUAAGCAGGAGGGGCAGGAGCCAGAAAGGGCGACUGACAGACACGGCAAGAGGAGAAAGGAGGCUCAGUGUCCCGAAAACACAGCCAGGGCCAGAGCCGGGACAGGAGGAGCCUGGGAGAAGCUGUGCAGCUUUGCCUUCAUUCCUUUUGCCCCAGCCUGUGCCCAGCUCACCUGGUCUCCCUUAGGGCCUGCGGCACCUCCCGGACCCUGGAUGUGGAGAGAAGGCUCUGGAUUAGAGGAAUGGCAGGAAUCCCUAAAGUGAGCCUGCCCUGGGCCCAGGAAUGGUAAACACCUCCCCACAUCUCCAUCUGUGCUGCACAAAGGGCUUCUGUGAACACCGGCUCCCAGACACAGGCCCAAAGGCCAAGCUCACGUUCACAGCCUCUGGGCCCGAUGGCUCUGUCCAGCCUCCCCUUGUGGGUAGUGAAGUCCCGUUAGGUUUGCACUGUUUGUAACACCCGUGAAUUCGUGCGGGUGU
rnacentral:lncRNA from 1 species